GGCGACAUGGCCGAGUGGUAAGGCAGAGGACUGCAAACCUUUUUCCCAAGCUCAAACUGGUGUCGCCU